rnacentral:rRNA from 1 species
GACGAACGCUGGCGGCGUGCUUAACACAUGCAAGUCGAGCGGAAAGGCCACUUCGGUGGUACUCGAGCGGCGAACGGGUGAGUAACACGUGAGUAAUCUGCCCCUGGCUUUGGGAUAGCCACCGGAAACGGUGAUUAAUACCGGAUAUGACCGCGUCUCGCAUGGGGUGUGGUGGAAAGUUUUUCGGCCAGGGAUGUGCUCGCGGCCUAUCAGCUUGAUGGUGAGGUAAUGGCUCACCAUGGCUUCGACGGGUAGCCGGCCUGAGAGGGUGACCGGUCACACUGAGACGGGGACACAGGCCAGACUCCUGAGGGAGGCAGCAGUGGAGAAUAUUGGACACUGGGCGGAGGCCUGAUCCAGCAACGCCGCGUGAGGGAUGACGGACUUCGGGUUGUAAACCUCUUUCAGUACCGACGAAGCUCAUGUGACGGUAGGUACAGAAGAAGCACCGGCCAACUACGUGCCAGCCACCGCCGUAACAC